rnacentral:misc_RNA from 1 species
UUUUUUUUUUUUUUUGUUUUUCUUGUAACAUCUGAAAAUAUGAAUUACUUUAUGCAACUCGUGAUGUGUGUAGUGAGUUACAUGUGAGAUAGAGGCAAUGGUCUCAUUGCUUUCUUUGUAAAAAUUUAGAAAUGAUCAUAGAAGCAUACAAUGUAUCCUAACUGGUCUUUAUCCAUCUUCAAAGGUAUAUGAAAUAAGAAAGUCUCGG